UGCAGCUCCCAGUUGAUCAAUGCAGAAGUUCGUAGGUCUUGAGAUCAAGAGCAACCCCAUGUGGAUCCAUGGUAGAUCACAAGAUCUGGAAGUUUGUGCCUAAUGUUGUUAUCAGAUGAGCCUUUUGGGGAUGUCCUGAAGGGUUCCUUGAGGUGUGACCUUAGAUUGUCUAUUUGUAUUCUUCAUCCAAAUACAAGAAGCACCAAGAACACCUGGGAAAUUCACCGCAAAAACAUCUUUGCAUGGGCACAUUGUCAUCAGGUUAUCCAAAGUUAAGACAGGGAAAGAAUCUUAAGAGCUGUGAGACAGAAGUACCAGGUAACCUCUAAAGGAAAACCUAAGGUCAGUUUUUUUUAAGAAAAGUAACUUUAUUGUGGUAUAAAGACUACAAAAUCAAGGUGUCAAAAAUUAAAUUAGAUGCAAGGUAUAAAAAAUUGCUGUUCUGUAGGUCCAAAUGAACUUUAUGAAAUUCCCAUCUUUUAAAAUCAUAAAUGGCUGAAAUUUGUCAAUUUUGUAUGGAACUCACUAUUAUAUAUGGGAAUAUAAUCAGUGACUUAUACUCAGAGGAAAUCCUUUGACACUGUAUCAAAGAUCUGGUCAUGAAAUGCAUAUUUAGACAUUGCAAGUUAUAAUAAAAUGUUGAAAACA
ensembl:lncRNA novel transcript